rnacentral:tRNA from 2 species
GCCCUCGUAGCUCAGCAGGCAGAGCAGCCGCCUUGUAAGCGGCAGGCCGCGCGUUCGAACCGUCGCCGAGGGCACCA